UACGUAGGGGGCUAGCGUUGUCCGGAAUUAUUGGGCGUAAAGAGCUCGUAGGCGGUUUGUUGCGUCGGCUGUGAAAUCCCGAGGCUCAACCUCGGGUCUGCAGUCGAUACGAGCAAACUAGAGUGUUGCAGGGGAGACUGGAAUUCCUGGUGUAGCGGUGAAAUGCGCAGAUAUCAGGAGGAACACCGGUGGCGAAGGCGGGUCUCUGGGCAACAACUGACGCUGAGGAGCGAAAGCGUGGGGAGCGAACAGG
rnacentral:rRNA from 1 species